rnacentral:lncRNA from 1 species
AUGUGUCCCACACUAUCCAGCAAGUUUUGUCCUGGGAAGAGCUCUAGUCCUCUUGAGCACUUUAUGCUCCUCUCCUUAAUGAUUUUGCUUCCACAGACUCUGAGAAUCUUCACUUCUGCUGGAACCUGCUUCAGCUCCACUGGGCAUGAAUCACCAGUGCCAGCAUGUGCCUUCCACACAGCUAGCCUGGUGCUUGCUGGGCUCUCAGGACUCUUUGCAUAGAUGAGCUCUCCUGAUCGCCUGUUACAAAAACAGGUGCUAAAAUACACAAAUAGUGAUGGAGCACAGGAACUACCACUGCAGCACUCACAAGAGCGUGUCACAGCCUGGCCUAACCUUUGUCUUCUACCUACUCCAGCAAGAAAAACAAGGAGCACCACAGGAUGUUCCAGGCUGUCACCAUACUCUUCAUUGGCCUCUGUGUUGCUAUGAAUAAAAUUAUUACUUUAAGGUUAUCA